rnacentral:rRNA from 1 species
CCUACGGGAGGCAGCAGUGAGGAAUAUUGGUCAAUGGACGAGAGUCUGAACCAGCCACGUAGCGUGAAGGAUGACUGCCCUAUGGGUUUUAAACUUCUUUUAUAUGGGAAUAAAAUGUUCCACGUGUGGGAUUUUGUAUGUACCAUAUGAAUAAGGAUCGGCUAACUCCGUGCCAGCAGCCGCGGUAAUACGGAGGAUCCGAGCGUUAUCCGGAUUUAUUGGGUUUAAAGGGAGCGUAGGUGGAUUGUUAAGUCAGGUGUGAAAGUUGUCGGCUCAACCGUAAAAUUGCAGUUGAAACUGGCAGUCUUGAGUACAGUAGAGGUGGGCGGAAUUCGUGGUGUAGCGGUGAAAUGCUUAGAUAUCACGAAGAACUCCGAUUGCGAAGGCAGCUCACUGGACUGCAACUGACACUGAGGCUCGAAAGUGUGGGUAUCAAACAGGAUUAGAUACCCGAGUAGUC